GAUGAACGCUGGCGGCGUGCUUAACACAUGCAAGUCGAACGAAGCAAUGAAGCGGAAGUUUUCGGACAGAAGCUUGAUUGACUGAGUGGCGGACGGGUGAGUAACGCGUGGGAAACCUGCCUUAUACAGGGGGAUAACAGUUAGAAAUGACUGCUAAUACCGCAUAAGCCUGCAGCAUCGCAUGAUGCAGGAGGAAAAGGAGCAAUCCGGUAUAAGAUGGUCCCGCGUCUGAUUAGCUAGUUGGUAAGGUAACGGCUUACCAAGGCGACGAUCAGUAGCCGACCUGAGAGGGUGACCGGCCACAUUGGGACUGAGACACGGCCCAA
rnacentral:rRNA from 1 species